UACAGAGGGUGCAAGCGUUAAUCGGAAUUACUGGGCGUAAAGCGCACGUAGGUGGCUGGGUAAGUUGGAUGUGAAAUCCCCGGGCUUAACUUGGGAAUUGCAUUCAAGACUGCCUUGCUAGAGUGUGGAAGAGGGAAGCGGAAUUCCAGGUGUAGCGGUGAAAUGCGUAGAUAUCUGGAGGAACAUCAGUGGCGAAGGCGGCUUCCUGGUCCAACACUGACACUGAGGUGCGAAAGCAUGGGGAGCAAACAGG
rnacentral:rRNA from 1 species